AUUGAACGCUAGCGGGAUGCCUUACACAUGCAAGUCGAACGGCUUGGCGAACGGGUGAGUUAUGUAUCGGAACGUGCCACGUAGCGGGGGAUCACUACGCGAAAGCGAAGCUAAUACCUAAUACUAUUGGAGCGGCCGAUUUCGGGUUAGCUAGUUGGUGGGGUAACGGCUCACCAAGGCGACGAUCCGUAGCUGGUUUGAGAGGACGACCAGCCACACUGGGACUGAGACACGGCCCAGACUCCUACGGGAGGCAGCAGUGGGGAAUUUUGGACAAUGGGGGAAACCCUGAUCCAGCCAGCCCGCGUGUGCGAUGAAGGCCUUAGGGUUGUAAAGCACUUUUGGCAGGAAAGCGGUACCUGCAGAAUAAGCACCGGCUAACUACGUGCCAGCAGCCGCGGUAAUUC
rnacentral:rRNA from 1 species